rnacentral:rRNA from 1 species
UACGUAGGGUGCAAGCGUUAAUCGGAAUUACUGGGCGUAAAGCGUGCGUAGGCGGUUGCGCAAGACAGGUGUGAAAUCCCCGGGCUUAACCUGGGAAUUGCACUUGUGACUGUGCGGCUGGAGUGCGGCAGAGGGGGAUGGAAUUCCGCGUGUAGCAGUGAAAUGCGUAGAUAUGCGGAGGAACACCGAUGGCGAAGGCAAUCCCCUGGGCCUGCACUGACGCUCAUGCACGAAAGCGUGGGAGCAAACAGG